rnacentral:rRNA from 1 species
UCCUACGGGAGGCAGCAGUGGGGAAUUUUGGACAAUGGGGGCAACCCUGAUCCAGCAAUGCCGCGUGUGUGAAGAAGGCCUUCGGGUUGUAAAGCACUUUUGUCCGGGAAGAAAUCGCACCUGAUAAUACCGGGUGUGGAUGACGGUACCGGAAGAAUAAGGACCGGCUAACUACGUGCCAGCAGCCGCGGUAAUACGUAGGGUCCAAGCGUUAAUCGGAAUUACUGGGCGUAAAGCGUGCGCAGGCGGUUGUGCAAGACCGAUGUGAAAUCCCCGGGCUUAACCUGGGAAUUGCAUUGGUGACUGCACGGCUAGAGUGUGUCAGAGGGGGGUAGAAUUCCACGUGUAGCAGUGAAAUGCGUAGAGAUGUGGAGGAAUACCGAUGGCGAAGGCAGCCCCCUGGGAUAACACUGACGCUCAUGCACGAAAGCGUGGGGAGCAAACAGGAUUAGAUACCCUGGUAGUCCACGCCCUAAACGAUGUCAACUAGUUGUUGGGGAUUCAUUUCCUUAGUAACGUAGCUAACGCGU